AUUGAACGCUGGCGGCAGGCCUAACACAUGCAAGUCGAACGAGUGGCGGACGGGUGAGUAAUGUCUGGGAAACUGCCUGAUGGAGAGGGAUAACUCCUUGGAACGGUAGCUAUUACCGCAUACCAUCAGAUGUGCCCAGAUGGGAUUAGCUAGUUGGUGGGGUAACGGCUCACCAAGGCGACGCUCCCUAGCUGGUCUGAGAGGAUGACCAGCCACACUGGAACUGAGACACGGUCCAGACUCCUACGGGAGGCAGCAGUGGGGAAUAUUGCACAAUGGGCGCAAGCCUGAUACAGCCAUGCCGCGUGUAUGAAGAAGGCCUUCGGGUUGUAAAGUACUUUCAGCGGGGAGGCGUUACCCGCAGAAGAAGCACCGGCUAACUCCGUGCCAGCAGCCGCGGUAAUAC
rnacentral:rRNA from 1 species